rnacentral:lncRNA from 1 species
GUAGAGUCUUCUACAACCCUUUUCAUCUUCCUGUCACCCUACAUUGAAGAAUAUAUCAGUAAUUUGGUUAAGAUCAAAUAACAAAAAGCCACUAACAUAAAUGUACCUCAAUGGAUUCGGUAAAAUGCCUAGCCUCGAUUUCUUCAUUUACAACCCAAACUUUGGAUGCUGUAAAUGAGACAUCUCCAUCUUCAUUGCGUAUAUUGAAUUCGCUAAUUUUUAUUUCAAAAACAAAUUCUAAUCCAAUCAGUUUAUUCAAUAUAUCCUUAACAGAUUCUGAGCCAUUAUCC